rnacentral:lncRNA from 1 species
CACGGAGGCCGCCCGCCAAGUCUGGGGCCAUUCCGAGUCCCGCGGACGAACUUCGCCCACGCCCCCCACCAAGGCUAUAGCCCACCCGUUUCUUGGCCAUUUUUCCGCUGGGGGGUCUUGGGACCCCGACCUUCGGGGGCUGAUUUUUGGGCGCGGCUGUGCCCGUGGCCUAUUUUUGGCGCACGGAGGCCGCCCGCCAAGUCUGGGGCCAUUCCGAGUCCCGCGGACGAACUUCGCCCACGCCCCCCACCAAGGCUAUAGCCCACGCGUUUCUUGGCCUUUUUUCCGCUGGGGGGUCUUGUGACUCCGACCUUCGGGGGCUGAUUUUUGGGCGCGGCUGUGCCCGUGGCCUAUUUUUGGCACACGGAGGCCGCCCGCCAAGUCUGGGGCCAUUCCGAGUCCCG